UUCUUUUUGUUUAAAUAAAAAGUAAAACCUGCCCACUGAAUUUUUGAAGGGCCGCGGUAUUUUGACCGUGCUAAGGUAGCAUAAUCAUUAGUCUUUUAAUUGAGGAAUUGUAUGAAUGGUUAAACUUGUAAAAAUUUUUUUCCUUUUAAGAUUUAAAUUUUAAUUUUAGUUGAAAAUGACUAAAUAGAGAAAAUAGACGAUAAGACCCUAUAGAGCUUUAUUAUAAAACUAAAUAUAAAUUAUGGGGGUAGCUUAUAUUUAGUUUUAUAGUUUAGUUGGGGCAACUUGAGAAUAAGAAAAACUUCUUUUAAUCUUUAAAUCUUAAUAUUUUAAAAUUUAAAAAGUUACCUUAGGGGUAACAGCGUAAUAAGUAUUGAGAGUUCCUAUCGACAUACAAUUUUGCGACCUCGAUGUUGAAUUAAAAAUUCUAUGCAGGGCAGAAAUUGCAUUAGAUUGUCUGUUCGCCAGUUAAAUUUUU
rnacentral:rRNA from 1 species